rnacentral:rRNA from 1 species
AUAUCAGUCAUGCAUAGCAUAUCAAUAAGCGGAGGAAAAGAAACUAACAAGGAUUCCCCUUAGUAACGGCGAGUGAAGCGGGAAGAGCUCAAAUUUGAAAUCUUCAAGGUUCUACCUUGACGAAUUGUAGUUUAUAGAAGUGUUUUCUGUUAGUAGAGUGGCAAAAGUUCUUUGGAAUAGGACAUCAUAGAGGGUGAGAAUCCCGUAUUUGGUCAUUCCUUCCUAGCGUUGUGAUACACUUUCAACGAGUCGGAUUGUUUGGGAAUGCAGUCCAAAAUGGGUGGUAAAUUUCAUCUAAAGCUAAAUAUUGGCGAGAGACCGAUAGCGAACAAGUACCGUGAGGGAAAGAUGAAAAGAACUUUGAAAAGAGAGUUAAACAGUACGUGAAAUUGUCAAAAGGGAAGCGUUUGACACCAGUGUUGUUUUUCCGAAAAUCAAUUACGAAUGUUUUGUUUUUGAGGAGUUAUGACUUCAUCGGCUUGCUCCUUUCUUUAUGAAACUUUCUUAAUGCACUUUUCGGUUAACAAGUCAACAUCAAUUUCUUUUGUUGUAAAAAGGGUAUGAGGAAGGUGGCUUUCUUUUCGGAGAAAGUGUUUAUAGCCUUGUGCCUCUGCAAUCGGAGAGAUUGAGGUCUGCAGCGUAGAUCCUUUCUGGAUUAGAUACAUUUGUGCUAAGUUAUAGCUUUUCAUAGACAACUUGUUGACUAUGUUUAGUCUUGUAGCUUACUCGCUGACGCUAUUUUACCUACGCUUAGGAUGUUGAUGUGAUACUGCGAGCA